rnacentral:rRNA from 1 species
UACGUAGGGAGCAAGCGUUGUCCGGAAUCAUUGGGCGUAAAGCGCGCGUAGGUGGCUUCGUAAGUCCGUUGUGAAAGUCAAAGGCUCAACCUUUGAAAGCCGAUGGAUACUGCGGAGCUAGAGUACGGAAGAGGCGAGUGGAAUUCCUGGUGUAGCGGUGGAAUGCGCAGAUAUCAGGAGGAACACCAAUAGCGAAGGCAGCUCGCUGGGACGUUACUGACGCUGAGACGCGAAGGCGUGGGGAGCAAACAGG